GAUGAAGAACGUAGCGAAAUGCGAUAAGUAGUGUGAAUUGCAGAAUUCAGUGAAUCAUCGAAUCUUUGAACGCACAUUGCGCCCCUUGGUAUUCCAUGGGGCAUGCCUGUUCGAGCGUCAUUUGUACCUUCAAGCUCUGCUUGGUGUUGGGUGGUUGUCUCGCCUCUGCGUGUAGACUCGCCUCAAAACAAUUGGCAGCCGGCGUAUUGAUUUCGGAGCGCAGUACAUCUCGCGCUUUGCACUCAUAACGACGACGUCCAAAAGUACAUUUUUACACUCUUGACCUCGGAUCAGGUAGGGAUACCCGCUGAACUUAAGCAUAUCAAUAAGCGGAGGA
rnacentral:misc_RNA from 1 species